AUUGAACGCUGGCGGCAGGCCUAACACAUGCAAGUCGAACGAGUCGCGCACGUGUGAGUAGUGUCUGGGAAUCUGCCCGAUGGAGGGGUAUCACUACUGGAAACUAUCGCUAAUACCGCAUACCAUCGGAUGUGCCCAGAUGGGAUGAUCUAGUAGGUGGGGUAACGGCUCACCUAGGCGACGAUCCCUAGAUGGUCUGAGAGGAUGACCAGACACAAUGGAACGAAGACACGGGCCAGAAUCCUACGGAAGGCAGCAGUGGGGAAUAUUGCACAAUGGGCGCAAGCCUGAUUCAGCCAUGCCGCGGGUAUGAAGAAGGCAUUCGGGUUGUAAAGUACUUUCAGCGAGGAGGCGUUACCCACAGAAGAAGCACCGGCUAACUCCGUGCCAGCAGCCGCGGUAAUAC
rnacentral:rRNA from 1 species